GUUUGUUUUUUGGAAGGGGGGGGGUUUGGUAUUAGGGAUUGAACUCGGAUCCUUGCUCUUGCAAGGCAGGUGGCGGAACCGCUGAGCGAAAUCCCCAGCCCUGCAAGCUUUGUUUUUGCUGGGCCUGGGCCUAGCUCUCCUCCUUCCCAGAGCAGCUGCCUCCCUGGAGGGCUUGUCGACUGCCUGCCUCCUCCGAUCUCUCCACCGAUCCGCUUCCCCUGGGACGUGAGGCGCGGCACUGCCCCAGGAGAAUUCUGAGGAAUUCUGAUUCCACCCCCCAGUGGUUACCAUGGUGAUGAAAAAAUCUGGACCCAGUGGAAAGUUCUCUGUGCUCUUGGCAACGAAGCUGCAGCACCCUGCCUCCUGCCUGUCUGAGCGUGGGCGGCCAGCUACAACUGCUGCCAGCAUUUGGGGCCAGCCGCUCUGCGUGGAGGACCAGCCCUGCCCCCGUAACAUUAGUGUGGGAGCCCUGGCAUCUCUGGCUCAAGGAGUCCUCGGGGAACCUCUAACCUGCCCUACUUCACAGGCUGCCGACUCGUCCAAGUCUGUCCAGGUCCCUGACUCCCCUGGGGUCUCUUUCCUGGGUCAGAGGUGACCUUCCAACUCAUCCUCUCCAGUUACAAAGUCCAGCCCGCAAUGGUUUCUCCUCUGCUACGGCCAGAGGAGACAGAGAGCUCUUGCCUCCAUACUCCUAUCGUCCUCCGGACCAAGUCCCAGUUUCUCAGCGUGGUCUGCAUGGCCUUGGAGACCAGAUUCCUGCUUAAUUCUCCAGCCUCCUUCCUCUUCACACCCAUGGCCUCUUCUGACACAAUGCCCUCUUUUGUGUUUAGGAACCUUUGUGCUCUUUCAUACUUCUAUGUCUCUGCCCUUUCUAUCCCUCCAACCUGAAAGCCUUCCUCAUCCGCAUGAAGAACACCCAUUCCUCACGUCUCUCAGGAACAUCCUGGCAAAGCC
ensembl:lincRNA